rnacentral:rRNA from 1 species
UGGGGGAUAACGCAUCGAAAGAUGUGCUAAUACCGCAUAUCCUCUCAGGAGGAAAGUAGGGGAUCGAAAGACCUUAUGCUUUAAGAGCGGCCGAUGUCUGAUUAGCUAGUUGGUAGGGUAAUGGCUUACCAAGGCGACGAUCAGUAGUUGGUCUGAGAGGACGACCAGCCACACUGGGACUGAGACACGGCCCAGACUCCUACGGGAGGCAGCAGUGGGGAAUUUUGGACAAUGGGCGCAAGCCUGAUCCAGCAAUGCCGCGUGAGUGAAGAAGGCCUUCGGGUUGUAAAGCUCUUUCAGUUGAGAAGAGAAGGUUGUGACUAAUAAUCACAAUUGAUGACGGUAUCAACAGAAGAAGCACCGGCUAACUACGUGCCAGCAGCCGCGGUAAUACGUAGGGUGCGAGCGUUAAUCGGAAUUACUGGGCGUAAAGGGUGCGCAGGCGGUUUUGUAAGUCAGAUGUGAAAUCCCCGGGCUUAACCUGGGAAUUGCGUUUGAAACUACAAAACUAGAGUGUAGCAGAGGGAGGUGGAAUUCCAUGUGUAGCAGUGAAAUGCGUAGAGAUAUGGAAGAACAUCGAUGGCGAAGGCAGCCUCCUGGGUUAACACUGACGCUCAUGCACGAAAGCGUGGGGAGCAAACAGGAUUAGAUACCCUGGUAGUCCACGCCCUAAACUAUGUCAACUAGUUGUUGGGUCUUAAUAGGCUUGGUAACGUAGCUAACGCGUGAAGUUGACCGCCUGGGGAGUACGGUCGCAAGAUUAAAACUCAAAGGAAUUGACGGGGACCCGCACAAGCGGUGGAUUAUGCGGAUUAAUUCGAUGCAACGCGAAAAACCUUACCUACCCUUGACAUGUUAGAAAGAUUUCAGAGAUGAAAUCGUGUCCGAAAGGAAAUCUAAACACAGGUGCUGCAUGGCUGUCGUCAGCCCGUGUCGUGAGAUGUUGGGUUAAGUCCCGCAACGAGCGCAACCCUUGUCAUUAAUUGCCAUCAUUUAGUUGGGCACCUUAAUGAGACUGCCGGUGACAAACCGGAGGAAGGUGGGGAUGACGCCAAGUCCUCAUGGCCCUUAUGGGUAGGGCUUCACACGUAA